rnacentral:rRNA from 1 species
GACGAACGCUGGCGGCGUGCUUAACACAUGCAAGUCGAACGGAAAGGCCCUGCUUUUGUGGGGUGCUCGAGUGGCGAACGGGUGAGUAACACGUGAGUAACCUGCCCUUGACUUUGGGAUAACUUCAGGAAACUGGGGCUAUUACCGGAUAGGAGCUCCUGCUGCAUGGUGGGGGUUGGAAAGUUUCGGCGGUUGGGGAUGGACUCGCGGCUUAUCAGCUUGUUGGUGGGGUAGUGGCUUACCAAGGCUUUGACGGGUAGCCGGCCUGAGAGGGUGACCGGCCACAUUGGGACUGAGAUACGGCCCAGACUCCUACGGGAGGCAGCAGUGGGGAAUAUUGCACAAUGGGCGGAAGCCUGAUGCAGCAACGCCGCGGGCGGGAUGACGGCCUUCGGGUUGUAAACCGCUUUCGCCUGUGACGAAGCGUGAGUGACGGUAAUGGGUAAAGAAGCACCGGCUAACUACGUG